rnacentral:rRNA from 1 species
AUUGAACGCUGGCGGCAUGCCUUACACAUGCAAGUCGAACGGCAGCACGGGAGCAAUCCUGGUGGCGAGUGGCGAACGGGUGAGUAAUAUAUCGGAACGUGCCCAGUCGUGGGGAUAACGUAGCGAAAGCUACGCUAAUACCGCAUACGAUCUAUGGAUGAAAGUGGGGGAUCGCAAGACCUCAUGCUCAUGGAGCGGCCGAUAUCUGAUUAGCUAGUUGGUGGGGUAAAGGCCUACCAAGGCUUCGAUCAGUAGCUGGUCUGAGAGGACGACCAGCCACACUGGAACUGAGACACGGUCCAGACUCCUACGGGAGGCAGCAGUGGGGGAAUUUUUGGACAAUGGGCGAAAGCCUGAUCCAGCAAUGCCGCGUGAGUGAAGAAGGCCU